rnacentral:lncRNA from 1 species
AUUUUUAUAAUUAAAAAUGCAGCUAACAAAAAAAAAACUAUAUUCUCAAACCUUUUUUCUCUUAUUUUUUUUUAUCGUCAAUUUUGCAUUUAUAACAAAUCCCAUAAACAAAUUGGUUACAACAAUUAUCGAGACCCAAAACUUACAAAGAAAGCCCAUUUAUAAUCCAAAUCAAAGAAGAUAAGAAUUAAUAAUUUUGAGACACAUGUUAAACACGUGGAAGUUUUGAGUUGAAUGUCGGGAAAUGGGAUGAAGAUGCCAUUGAUACAUCACUGGUCAGAGCUCCGCCGUAGAACCGAAACCCGAAGAGUUUAAACCAUGAUAAACUCCAAUCGAGACUGCACCCACCUCUAAUAUGUUGCUCCUUCGUUUACUAUCUCCUCCUUUAAGAUCUGUUGAGAAUUUAAUGAAAACUAGCUUUUUCUUCUUAAGCCAUGACCUCCGAUCAUCUGCAACUCAGGACUAAUCCCUUUACCUUGUAGGCUCACAGCUCCUUUCAUCAGAUCUGAAGCGCCAUCUCAUCUUUAGGAGAACCAAAUAUCAGAGAAGAUACGACAAACAAGUCCAAACACGUCAGAACUUAAAAUCGGUUUACGUCAAAAUUUAUUAUCCGAUUAAUAGAAAUGAAAAAUUCGUAUAAACGCUGGAAAGUUAAAAACAAAAUAAUAUUAUACAAAUCCGGCUGGAUUUGUCGGAAUUUAUUCUCCAAAAAGUAUAUAUAACAUGGUACUGAUACUGGAUUAACGCCGGCACCGGCCAAAAAAAAUUAAAAACACUGAAAAACAAUUUAAGAAAAAGAUUAGGGAGAAAUUUUUCUUUCUAUAGUUAAAGAGAAAGAGAGUUAGAUUAGAGAAAGCUUUCACUUUCUAGUAUGAG